rnacentral:rRNA from 1 species
CCUACGGGUGGCAGCAGUGAGGAAUAUUGGUCAAUGGGCGCGAGCCUGAACCAGCCAAGUAGCGUGAAGGAUGACUGCCCUACGGGUUGUCAACUUCUUUUAUAAAGGAAUAAAGUGAGGCACGUGUGCCUUCUUGUAUGUAUUUUAUGAAUAAGGAUCGGCUAACUCCGUGCCAGCAGCCGCGGUAAUACGGAGGAUCCGAGCGUUAUCCGGAUUUAUUGGGUUUAAAGGGAGAGUAGAUGGGUUGUUAAGUCAGUUGUGAAAGUUUGCGGCUCAAACGUAAAAUUGCAGUUGAUACUGGCAGCCUUGAGUACAGUAGAGGUAGGCGGAAUUCGUGGUGUAGCGGUGAAAUGCUUAGAUAUCACGAAGAACUCCGAUUGCGAAGGCAGCCUACUAAACUGCCACUGACAUUGAUGCUCGAAAGUGUGGGUAUCAAACAGGAUUAGAUACCCUUGUAGUC